GGCGGCAUGCUAACACAUGCAAGUCGAACGAACCCUUCGGGGUUAGUGGCGCACGGGUGCGUAACGCGUGGGAACCUGCCUUUAGGUUCGGAAUAACUCAGAGAAAUUUGAGCUAAUACCGGAUGAUGUCUUCGGACCAAAGAUUUAUCGCCUUUAGAUGGGCCCGCGUUAGAUUAGAUAGUUGGUGGGGUAAUGGCCUACCAAGUCGACGAUCUAUAGCUGGUCUGAGAGGAUGAUCAGCCACACUGGGACUGAGACACGGCCCAGACUCCUACGGGAGGCAGCAGUGGGGAAUAUUGGACAAUGGGCGAAAGCCUGAUCCAGCAAUGCCGCGUGAGUGAUGAAGGCCUUANGGUUGUAAAGCUCUUUUACCAGGGAUGAUAAUGACAGUACCUGGANAAUAAGCUCC
rnacentral:rRNA from 1 species